rnacentral:rRNA from 1 species
AACGUAGGAGGCGAGCGUUAUCCGGAAUUACUGGGCGUAAAGAGCGUGUAGGCGGGUAUGCAAGUUUGGCGUGAAAGCUCCCGGCUAAACUGGGAGAGUGCGCUGAAGACUGCGUAUCUAGAGGCGAGUAGAGGGACGUGGAAUUCCGGGUGUAGUGGUGAAAUGCGUAGAGAUCCGGAGGAACACCAGUGGCGAAGGCGACGUCCUGGGCUUGACCUGACGCUGAGACGCGACAGCACGGGGAGCGAACGGG